rnacentral:piRNA from 1 species
UGAAAUUUGUUGUUCUGCCUCCCAUAGCAGG